rnacentral:hammerhead_ribozyme from 1 species
AUCCCGAUGAUGAGUCCCAAAUAGGACGAAAGGCGCAUCCUGGUU